AUUACAUAAACUACAGAUCGAAGAACAUAAAUUGAUGUUUUAUUGAAGAAGAAGAAGGAGGAGGAGCACGUCAUAAUGCGCAAGUGAUUUCAUGGAAGCUAUUCAUCGACAAUAGCUAUGAUCCACGUCACUUGGACGGACAACAUAAACCUAGGUUCCUCAUUACUGUAUACGGUGAGAUGAUUCAUCACUGCGUUUGGUGUCAUAUGGCGAACUAAAGCUUCCUCUUGGGAAGCAUCGGCUCAAGAUCGAGGAGUGGUAAUGAAAUUGCUUCCAAACAGUUUGUUAGCUUGGGUGCUAUACGAAGAGUCUUUAAUCUCUUUUUUGAGUACCCAUUCGUAAUGCGUUGCAUCACCAGGUAAAAGGUAUCAUCUUAUCAUGUUUGGAAAGCAUGCCUACAAGCGGACCAAACACCAAACUCCCAUUCAUUCUGGUGGUUCAGAUUAGGUAUGCCUAAAUUCAUUGCAUAUUAGAUUUGAUUAUGUAUUUUAUUUCACGGACAUUAUACUACAGUUUGAAUCUUUGAAGUCCGGUAUUUAGCAUGUUUGAGUUAUGCGCAAAGAGGUGGGAAGAAAUGGUACGUGCUCACUUUUACAUUUUUAAUCUCUCCCACUUGCUUCUGAAUGAAUGUAUAUUAUAUGUCUCUAUAUCAAUUUCAUUUCAGUUUUUCUAAUUUGUGUUUUCUUAGACAAUUAUGCCAUAUGAAACCAGGUUAGAGCAAAUUCUUAUGUUUUUCCUUUUAUUUGGGUCCAAAUGAGGAUGUACCAUGAGAACUAAUGCAAACUCUUAGAAUGAGAUCAUUUACACGGAGGUCGUGCUGCGAGGUGACUUACGGAACUACAUAACAUGUGAUCACCACCACCCACAAAAUUGCUGUAACAAUCCAAAUAGAAAACUUUUUCUCAGGGAUAGCACACUUACAAGUAAUAAGAUUAUGCUCAGAGAAGCAUUAUGUAGAUAGUUGCAUUGCAAUAUUUAAAAGCCUACAAAUAAAUUGCAUUAUCUUUUCUUAAUCGAAACAAAUAAAUUACAUUAUGUUCAGGAGGUAAGGCCUUAAAUUGUUUUCUUGAUUAUAUCAUGUUGAUGGUCUAUUGAGAAGAAAGAGUUGAAGGUCAAAUAAACUUAAAAGAAAAAUUACAAACUCCAUUGGGAAACGUAACUUAUCAUGUUUCGAAUUUUAUGGAAGUACAAAUUCAACUCGGAAGUCCCAGUACCUGCUAUAUUAGGAAACAUAUUUCACGCAUAUUUUCUGCCGAAAUAAUAAAAAAAAUCCCCACAUAUUUCCAAUUUUUUCUCUACCUAUUUAACGCCUCGCAUCAACAAAUCAGAAAUGUAUCGCCACGGGACAGGGCGAAGUCCUGCGCACACCAAAUCGGAAAUGCAUCGUCAGGAGACGGGACAGGGCCCUGCGCACACGAAAUCAUAAAUACAUCACCACGAUGCAGGGAGAUGCCCCGCGCGUACCAAGUUAAAAAGUAAAAAGUACCCGGUGCAUAGCACGGGCACAAAUCUAGUUUUAAUAAAUUCAAUUCAAAUCGACCAACUUUGAAACUACAACGACAAAAAUAAUAAGUGAUUUCCGGGUCAAAUUUUGGGCACACUCCCGGUAUGUGUUUUAUAUUUCAUAGGAUAUUUCAAUGUGACGAAAUUCUAAAGACUCAAACUGGUGAGACCAAUCGCUCGUAUUCAAUCAAAUAUGAAUGUCGAAUUGAACGCGUAGGAUAAUACAUAGGUCAGAUUUUAAGCGUUGCCGUUGUAUAAAUAUAUAAAUUUUGGAUACUGUACAAUUGCGGUUGGGCCUGUUGCAUGGUUCGGUUUUCUUUUGUUUUAUGUCAAACACAAAAACGAAACUAAUAUAAACUCGGGAAAAAUAUCGUUUGGUCCUUUUAUAGGUGGGCCCAUGUUUGUUUGGUUCUUUGGUCAAACCCCUUACUGUUUAGUCCAUAAUUAUUUAAAAAUAUUAAACUGACAAAAAUACCCUUCCAUGUUAAUUUUUAUUUAUUUUCGUGUAUCAGUUCAUUCCAGAAAUGAAAUCCAUACAAAAACCUAAA